rnacentral:lncRNA from 1 species
UUGGGCUUUUCAAGGACAUUUGUGCUUGUUGCGGUGGGUUCUCAUAUCAGUAUAACAUUUGCCACACAUUUCCCUGUUGCCAUAUGUCCCUGGUGGGACACAUUUGCAUCUGUCACAGCAUGUCAUGCAAGCUCUCAAGCAUAGGUUAGUCCUUGAGUGUAAUUUGCACCUUUGUCCACAUAAUGGGAUGCAAUCUGCCAACAAAGUUGUCCAACAUGUUGUCAGAAAGAUAACAGAUAAGUUCCUUGAGUUUUGGUAAAUGAAAAAAUGAUGUUUUCUUUACCCUUUUUUGUCCUAACAGGUGGCAAUGGUGGACUUGGUGGCUUGUAAGGCGGUGCUGGAGUUGUUGGUGGCUUAACUGGAGGUGUAGGAACUGGGGGCUUAUAUGGGGGAGUUGGUGCUUUAGUUGGCGGUGCUGGUGCUGGAGUUGGUGCUUUGGUUGGGGGUGUUGGGGGCAUAUAUGGGGGAGUAGGGGCCUUGACUGGAGGUGCCGGUGCGGGAGUAGGGGGUUUAUAUGGGGGAGUAGGAGCCUUGGUUGGUGGUGCUGGUGCUGGGGGCUUAAAUGGUGGAGUUGGAGCCUUGGUUGGUGGUGCAGGAGCUGGGGGCUUAUAUGGUGGAGUAGGAGCCUUGGUUGGUGGUGCAGGAGCUGGGGGCUUAUAUGGUGGAGUAGGAGCCUUGGUUGGUGGUGCAGGAGCUGGGGGUUUAUAUGGUGGAGUAGGAGCCUUGGUUGGUGGUUUAUAUGGUGGAGUGGGGGCCUUGGUAGGGGGUUUAUAUGGAGUGGGGCCCUUAGUUGGGGGUGCUGGAGUUGGAGCCUUGUACGGCGGCACCGGAGUGGUGGGAG